UAUAUUGAAGUACUUUUUAAAAUAUAAGAAUUAAAUGAGUAUUUAAAUCAAAAUAUAAAAACUAAACAAGCAUUUACUUGAUAAAAAAUCAUAAAAGUUGAAUGUUUCAAAAUUUUGACACCCAAGACUUAUCUAUUAAAAGAGGUCAUGAGAAUUAAAACGUUAUCACAGAGACGUGCUGAGAUAUUCCUAUUUUCAAAUUUAAAUUUGAUACGUAUAAGAGAUAGUGACGGUGGGAGUGGGACCACCCACUUGGAAUUUAAAUUUAAUUGCACAGUCCCAUUCUCUCUCGGAUAUUUUUCGUAUUCUCUUUCAAGAAGAAUAAAUUAGCGGGCUAUUGAAUAGUGUUUAUGCGUGCUUUAUGGGUUAUAACAUUUUUGUCGAUCCUUAGCUAGGGAUGGCAAAUAUCCAAUUAUGGAUGGAUAAACACAAAUCCAUAAUUAUCCAUAAUGGAUAUAUCCAUAUCCAUAUCCAGUAUUUAAUAUUGGAUAUGGAUAUGGAUUUUAUCCAUAUAACUAUGGAGAUCCAUGGAUAUCCAUAUAUAUUUUAUUUUUCUUAUAUAAAAAUAA
rnacentral:lncRNA from 1 species